AAAAGACUUAGUCCUAACCUUAUUAUUGGCUAUUGCUAGACAUAUACAUGCAAGUAUCCGCACUCCAGUGAAAAUGCCCCUAGACCUUCUCACUCCCUCAAAGCAAAAGGAGCGGGCAUCAGGCACACUCAACAGUAGCCCAAGACGCCUUGCUAAGCCACACCCCCACGGGUAUUCAGCAGUAAUUAACAUUAAGCAAUAAGUGAAAACUUGACUUAGUUAUAGUAAUACACCCCCAGGGUUGGUAAAUCUUGUGCCAGCCACCGCGGCCAUACAAGAAACCCAAGUCAAUAAUUACCCGGCGUAAAGAGUGGCUACAUGUUAUCCCACCAACUAAGAUCAAAAUGCAACCAAGCUGUCAUAAGCCAAAGAUUCACCUAAGCCCAACCUCAAAACCAUCUUAGCCUAACGCGACUAAUUCCAAUCCACGAAAGCCAGGGCACAAACUGGGAUUAGAUACCCCACUAUGCCUAGCCAUAAAUCUAGAUACUUUUAUACCUAAAUAUCCGCCCGAGAACUACGAGCACAAACGCUUAAAACUCUAAGGACUUGGCGGUGCCCCAAACCCACCUAGAGGAGCCUGUUCUAUAACCGAUAAUCCACGAUUCACCCAACCACCUCUUGCCAACACAGCCUACAUACCGCCGUCGCCAGCUCACCUACAUGAAAGCUUAACAGUGAGCCCAAUAGUCUCCGCUAACAAGUCAGGUCAAGGUAUAGCUCAUGAGGUGGAAGAAAUGGGCUACAUUUUCUAGCGUAGAACACUUACGAAAAAGAGCAUGAAACCUGCUCUUAGAAGGAGGAUUUAGCAGUAAAAUGGGACCAUACAUCAGCCCACUUUAAGCCGGCCCUGGAGCACGUACAUACCGCCCGUCACCCUCUUCGCAAGCCACCUAUACCAAUAACUAAUACACCCACCCCAAAGGCUAAAGACGAGGUAAGUCGUAACAAGGUAAGUGUACCGGAAGGUGCACUUAGACUA
rnacentral:ncRNA from 1 species